UUUUUUUUCAAAGAACACCUUUCUGGAGUGUUUUUCACGGCCUCUUUUACAUUAUUUCAUCAUAUGGCACUGUUACGGCUGUGGCCGUAUUUUGGUAAUGUUGUGUUUGUCGUUUUGAAUUGUUUUGUUGUCUGGGAGUGGGUGUUCUGUGUUUGUCUGUAGAUCUUUCUCUCGUCCUUGUUUUCUGUGUAAGUGGUCUGUUCGUCCUGUUGGUUUGUAGUGGGUGUUGUGUUUGUCUGUGGAUCUUUGUGUGCAGGAGCUGAUUGGUGGCAAGGCGGACCUAGCGCUGAUUGGCUGUCAACCAUUUUAAAUCUUGGCGGCAGGCAGUGAUGAGGGGAGCCUCUCUGACAGCAGCACCCUUUGUUUUUUCCCAGACUCCAGACUUUUGCCUUGAUACCCGUGUUUUUUGGUUAGAUUAAGAUAGUGUGUUUUUUGUUUGUUAGACUUGGGUUUAUUUUUGUAGAAGUUGUGGUUUUGUUGGAUAGGAUCUUUUGUUUGAGUGCUAAAAUGCCUCUUUAGUUUGUAUGCAAUUAUUUUGUGUUUUUUUGCUUGAAUGAAUAGCCCAUGUGGUGGCCUCUUUGAUUUGUAGAAGAUUGUAAAUAAACCUUUUGUAAUUUUUCAAGGGAACUGUUCAUCAUUUUUGGGGACUGGGAAAAUAUUCCACCUUAUUUUUUUUAUUUUUAAAAAAAAAACAAACAUUAUGCUGCGCACCUUCCCCCGAGACAGGUGCGUAACAGGCACGUUUUUACAACAUGUUGAAAAAUCGCAUUUUUUUUUCGACAUAGUAUAGUAAGGC
ensembl:lncRNA